AUUACUUUGGCAGAAUAGUGCAAUUGAUUUAGAAUCUUUAUAUAUAAUUUUAAUUAUAAGUAAUA
rnacentral:tRNA from 1 species